CCUUCACGCAAAUUUAUGGUAAAGGAAAACUCGAGACUUUUCGCACAUAUAGCUUUAUUGAUUACCGGUUUCCUGUUGAUUUACUAUUACGUUUUGAGCUUUAAUUAUCGAAAACGUUGUACGGUUUUUUAACACUGUGCUGGAGGCUCUUGCAGUUGAACAUUUGAGUAAGUUGCUAUAGUGGAGUCCAACAAGCACACCCUAUGAAAUCGACUGGAAACUUUGAUUUCAGUUUGGAGAAGACCCGAAUUUUUUCCAGCAAAGCAAGAGUCACAAGAGAAGACUUGAAACCUUACUGAACAACUGACAGAGGUUUGGGAGCUCCUCCCUGCUAGUUCCGGACUCGUAGCAAUGUGGUGGUUGACAAGGAUCUGACGCAAUCUAGUGUCCUUUUUCUUCAUAAGGUCAAAAUGCUGGGACUGGGUAUUGAAUUUAGAGUGUAUUCUUUCAAUCCCUUGUUCGCCAUAGAAUCUAAGGCUCAUGUGCCAUUGUCGAAGAAAAGGGCAAACAUGUUCUUCUAGCAUAUGGAGCUUUGGUGUGAUCAUCAUGUCUGGAAAUUUUUUCCUAAUGAACUGAAGAAAAUGUGUGAUGUCUUCCUCUGCAACAAGAAAACAAGAAAAGGUGAAACAGACGCAGGACAUGAUCUUAUUAUUGUAUUCGUGUUUUCCAUGAAAGUCAGGUUUUUUUCUUUCACUGACCUAGCUUAUCAAUCUUGCCAUCAUUGAGAUAGUCUGUACUGUCAGACUAAGUGGCAAGCAGCAGAUACUUGAAAACUUGUUCAAAUUUAACACUAAUUUCUCUUGCUUGAGAAAGGAAGGAAGGAAGGACACAGCUCCUCUGUUUUUGUCACCACAGCACUGCAUAGUUUAAUGAUGUUGUCUUCCUACCAAAAA